UACGGAGGGUGCAAGCGUUAUCCGGAUUUACUGGGUUUAAAGGGUGCGUAGGUGGGCAGGUAAGUCAGUGGUGAAAUCUCCGGGCUUAACUCGGAAACUGCCGUUGAUACUAUCUGUCUUGAAUAUCGUGGAGGUUAGCGGAAUAUGUCAUGUAGCGGUGAAAUGCUUAGAUAUGACAUAGAACACCCAUUGCGAAGGCAGCUAACUGCACGAUCAUUGACACUGAGGCACGAAAGCGUGGGGAGCAAACAGG
rnacentral:rRNA from 1 species